rnacentral:rRNA from 1 species
AGAACGAACGCUGGCGGCAUGCCUAGUACAUGCAAGUCGAACGAACUCUUCGGAGUUAGUGGCGCACGGGUGCGUAACGCGUGGGAAUCUGCCCCUUGGUUCGGAAUAACAGUUGGAAACGACUGCUAAUACCGGACGAUGACGAAAGUCCAAAGAUUUAUCGCCAAGGGAUGAGCCCGCGUAGGAUUAGCUAGUUGGUGAGGUAAAGGCUCACCAAGGCAACGAUCCUUAGCUGGUCUGAGAGGAUGAUCAGCCACACGUGGGACUG